rnacentral:rRNA from 1 species
CAGUCGCCGCGGGAAUACGUAGGGUGCAAGCGUUAAUCGGAAUUACUGGGCGUAAAGCGUGCGCAGGCGGUUUUGUAAGUCUGUCGUGAAAUCCCCGGGCUCAACCUGGGAAUGGCGAUGGAGACUGCAAGGCUAGAAUCUGGCAGAGGGGGGUAGAAUUCCACGUGUAGCAGUGAAAUGCGUAGAUAUGUGGAGGAACACCGAUGGCGAAGGCAGCCCCCUGGGCUAAGAUUGACGCUCAUGCACGAAAGCGUGGGGAGCAAACAGGAUUAGAGACCCGCGUAGUCCCUGUCUCUUAUAU